GGUUACUGCUAUCGGUGUUCGCCUAAGCCAUGCGAGUCAUAUGUUCGUAAGAACAUGGCGUACUGCUCAGUAACACGUGGAUAACCUGCCCUUGGGUCCGGCAUAACCCCGGGAAACUGGGGAUAAUUCCGGAUAACGCACAUAUGCUGGAAUGCUUUCUGCGUAAAAUGGAUUCGUCUGCCCAAGGAUGGGUCUGCGGCCUAUCAGGUAGUAGUGGGUGUAAUGUACCUACUAGCCUACGACGGGUACGGGUUGUGAGAGCAAGAGCCCGGAGAUGGAUUCUGAGACAUGAAUCCAGGCCCUACGGGGCGCAGCAGGCGCGAAAACUUUACAAUGC
rnacentral:rRNA from 1 species